rnacentral:misc_RNA from 1 species
GUUCUUGCUCCGGAAGUUUUGGAAGGAAAUCAUGAUGACAAGGUUGCUUGCCAAAUGAUUCUGGAUAAAAUGGGAUUGAAAGGUUAUCAGAUAGGCAAGACAAAGGUUUUCCUUAGAGCUGGUCAGAUGGCUGAACUGGAUGCAAGAAGAGCAGAGGUGCUUGGAAAUGCAGCUAGAACCAUUCAAAGACAAAUUCGCACGUAUAUUGCACGCAAGGAGUUUAUUGCAUUACGGCAAGCUGCUAUUCACUUGCAAUCUCAUUGCCGGGGUGUAUUGGCUCGCAAAAUAUUUGAGCAGUUGCGGCGGGAAGCAGCAGCUUUGAAGAUUCAGAGGAAUUUCAGACGAUAUACUGCCAGGAAAUCCUACCUGACUCUAUAUUUGUCUGCAGUCACAUUGCAGACUGGCUUAAGGGCAAUGACUGCUCGUGAUGAAUUCAGGUUCAGAAAACAAACUAAAGCUGCAAUUGUUAUCCAGGCACAAUUGCGUCGCCAUAUAGCAUAUUCUUAUUAUAAGAGGCUUCAGAAGGCUGCAUUAGCUUCUCAAUGUGGCUGGAGGGGAAGAGUUGCUCGGAGAGAGCUUAGAAAGCUUAAAAUGGCUGCAAGGGAAACGGGUGCUCUUAAAGAAGCAAAAGACAAAUUAGAGAAGCGUGUGGAAGAGCUGACAUGGCGGUUGCAAUUUGAGAAGAGAUUGAGGACUGAUUUGGAAGAGGAAAAGGCACAAGAAAUUGCCAAGUUACAGGAUGCUUUGCAUGCAAUGCAAAUACAAGUAGAAGAAGCAAAUUCCAGAGUUAUCAAAGAACGAGAGGCAGCUCGAAAAGCUAUUGAAGAGGCACCUCCGGUCAUUAAGGAGACCCCUGUUCUUGUUCAAGAUACAGAAAAGGUUGAACAAUUAACGACCGAGGUGGAGAGUUUGAAGGCUUCACUGCUAUCAGAAAGACAGGCAGCAGAAGAAGCAAGGAAAGCAGGUAAAGAUGCUGAGGCCAGAAACUCGGAACUAAGCAAGAAACUGGAAGAUUCACAGCAAAAGGUGGAUCAACUUCAGGAAUCAGUGCAGAGGUUAGAGGAGAAACUUUCCAACUCAGAGUCCGAGAAUCAAGUUCUUCGUCAGCAAGCACUAACCAUCUCACCAACAGGGAAACCCUUGUCUGGACGGCCAAAAUCAAUAAUUUUACAGAGGACCCCGGAGAAUGGAAAUGUUGCAAAUGGAGAACCGAGGGUAGCAUUAGAUAUGAUGGUUGCUGUAUCAAAUGCACGUGAACCUGAAUCUGAGGAAAAACCACAGAAAUCUCUAAAUGAAAAGCAGCAGGAGAACCAGGAUCUACUGAUCAAGUGUGUAUCACAAAACUUGGGAUUCUCAGGAGGCAAACCAGUUGCUGCUUGCAUCAUAUACAAAUGUCUUCUUCACUGGAGGUCAUUUGAAGUUGAAAGGACUAGCGUGUUUGAUCGUAUUAUCCAAACAGUAGCUUCAGCUAUAGAGGUCCCAGAUAACAAUGAUGUCUUAGCCUAUUGGUUAUCAAAUUCAUCCACAUUGUUGCUGCUGCUCCAACACACACUCAAAGCAAGUGGAGCAGCCAGUUUAACACCACAACGGCGGAGAACGGCAUCAGCUUCUCUUUUUGGGAGGAUGUCUCAAGGGCUAAGGGCUUCUCCUCAAAGUGCUGGACUCUCAUUCCUUAAUGGUCGAGCACUUAGUAGACUGGACGAUUUACGACAGGUUGAGGCCAAGUAUCCAGCAUUACUGUUUAAACAACAGCUUACUGCCUUCCUUGAAAAGAUAUAUGGAAUGAUCAGGGACAAUUUGAAGAAAGAGAUCUCUCCAUUGCUUGGUUUAUGUAUUCAGGCACCAAGAACUUCCCGGGCAAGUUUAGUAAAAGGACGCUCUCAGGCUAACGCUGUUGCUCAACAAGCUUUAAUCGCUCAUUGGCAAAGCAUUGUUAAAAGCUUAAACAGUUAUUUGAUGAUAAUGAAGGCGAACUAUGUGCCUCCCUUCUUAAUGCGUAAAGUGUUCACUCAGAUAUUCUCAUUUAUCAAUGUUCAGUUAUUCAAUAGUCUUCUUUUGCGGCGUGAGUGUUGCUCAUUCAGUAACGGAGAAUAUGUGAAAGCAGGUUUGGCUGAAUUAGAGCAGUGGUGCCAUGAGGCAACUGCAGAAUUUGCGGGCUCUGCAUGGGAUGAAUUGAAGCAUAUAAGACAGGCUGUUGGAUUCCUAGUCAUACAUCAAAAGCCUAAGAAGACCUUGAAUGAAAUUACUAAAGAACUUUGUCCGGUGCUGAGCAUACAGCAACUAUAUAGGAUCAGUACCAUGUACUGGGAUGACAAAUAUGG